rnacentral:lncRNA from 1 species
CUACGGGCCGACGCUGGGUAAGGUUUUGUAUUUUGGUCCACGCAAGUCAAAUGGUCACAGAAUUCCGCCGGUCUCCUGCUGCUGUUGUACCGGGGUACCUCAACGUGUGCUCUUAUCCACAGUACAGCUUUCUCUCCAGAACGAUGGCUUUUCAGGACUGAAAAGGUGGUCGACCAUAGAAGCAUGUCGCUUCGUGCACCUGUUUUGCGUUGGAAACAGUUCAACUGAAGAACGUGGAUUUUCAUCGUUUCAGAGACUGUACGUAGUGUUGUCGUGCAUGCCUCUCGGGAUAUCGCCAGAGAAGCAGGCACCAAAUAAACAACGCCGCGUCAGGUACGCCGUUUGUGCUUUCGGUGUCUUUCUGGUUGCCUCGUUACCCCCUGGAACGUUCAUAACCAUCCUAGUUUAUCCCUUAUGCCGACUCGCACUUGAACCACAAACGGUGCACCAAGUACGAUCACCUUCCCAACUUACCAAGACAGCAGUCUCCUUCACGCUUAGACGCCCCCGACUUUCUCGAUGUGUCUCUCCGCGUUGACGCGGCACUCCCAGUUUUUUCCUGGCGAGGCAAACUGCUGGUAAAUAAUUCGCAUGCACGCCG